CGGUCGAGCUGCCGAGCCAGCGAGUCUGGUGAACAAUCUGUCCCUCAGUAAUUACGACAUACAUGCCCCUGUUGACUAAUUGUGGUCACAAAAAGCUGCUCGGCGGCCCGGCGGCCUGUCGCAUUUGCAUCUGGCCCGCUCACUCCGCUCGCCUCUCCCUGGGUCGCUCGGCCUGCUCCAAUUUAGUCCGUCGCUCUCCCUAAUGACGACGACACUACGGAGACUCCACGUGGUCCGCCAAUUACAAGGUGGUGCAUUGCUGCAGCAAUCGUGUGAAACCUACAAACAAACACGAUGUGAUGUAUCUCGUCAUCUUACAACUCCCAAAAAUAUUUAAAAAUAAAUAUCAUAAUUACUUGGUUUCCUAGUCUGAACUAGAUUUUCACUAGACACUUCAUCUGUAUAGUCUUGAUGAGUCGUUGUUUAAACCCGCCACUUUCGUUCAAAUGCAUUAAAAAUAAGAAACAGUAGUGUUUCCAGUAAAAAACUGUUUAGUUUUGAACAGUUAUAUAAUUCGGAUACGAGUAAUGAAAUAUAAAAUUUAUGAACCAGUUAAAUGGUAUUUGUGAAUUUGUAUACGAUAAUUUGAGAUUUACAGAGCCGUGACUUAUCAUCGUGAGGGAGUAUGAGGCACCAGCUAGCUGAAGGCCUUAUCAGUAGUAAAAGUAGGCAGAGAUUUGGGGUUGUGGUAGAGAUUCGACGAAAUGAGGUCCUCGUUGAUACUAGAAUCUGGUGAAAAGAUAAUUUAUUUUCUCAUAUGUGAAUUCCAUUGGGUCUGCAACAUCGAUAUGAUAGUGAAAAGAAAAACGAUUCCAAGUGUGAUAAUACCUUGCGGUUAUGAUCCAAACGAAGCGCUUACAGGUAAAUUCGAAGUUAGAUCGGUUUGACUGGGAUCAAGGAGUUAAUCGAAAGCAGGGUGAUGAAGGAAAACGGCUGGUGCGAUCGAACAUUAAGGCAUUGCAUCUCACCCCCAAAGUGAUCGUGAGAUAGAGGGUGUUUUUGAGAUUUGGGGGAUCCUGGAGUACUGGUCCCUUUCCCCCUUGAAUACAGAUAAAAAUGGUGUAGUCUAAAAGAGAAGACAGUACAUUUAUACGUUACGAACAGGCUUUCAAAAUUGUUUCUCUGAAGUAUGUGUAACGUUAGGAAUGAAUUGGAAAAUAGAUUCCAACGUUAAACUCAUGAAAACUCCGUCAUGUAAAUUUCGCUGUUUACGCGGAAAAUUGAUACUGUUGUGGAUCCGUGCGAAAUGGAAUCUGCAGUGCCACGAUCAUAGCACGGAUGUGCUUCACAGCCUCGUAUAGUCAUUCCUUUUCAUAACCUCUUAGUUUCUUUCGGGUUUGAGUAAGCUUUCAUAAGAAGAGUUCAAUUGGCCCCAAGGACCAAUUUUGUGCUUGUGAAUGUCUGCAUCAACAUAUAACUGAGAAUCGUCGUUGAUGGGGGAGGUAGGUGGGCCUGGGGCCAGGCACGAGUAAAGGUCUCAUUGCUGAGGUCGAAGGCUUGGAGAGCUAUGAAAUCAAAGAUUCAGGAAUAUUUCAUCUUAGGACCCUCAAGCACAUACGUAAUGUGACGGUGAUAAAAUUUUAGGAUGCUGAUUUCACUGCUUCAGGUAAUAUAAUCUGACAGUAUGUCCUAGAACUUCUCAAAGUACUGGUCGUUGUUCUGAAAAAGUGAAGAUACAUGUAGAGCAAAAAGGCCAUUCUAAAAAACGUUCCCUAGUAAUCAUUGACAAGUUUGUAUGACAUUGCGGUCACCAGUAGUCACAUGGUUGAAUAUGAUUUUGCUCACAUUUCACAGGCUUGUCGCAUUUCUAUGGUUUCUGAAGACUGUCUGAAAAUGUGAAGGGCAGAAAUUCGAGUGCCUGUGAUCCCGUAUGGAUCUCAAUAUCUGUUAGUGGAGAGUGAAAUCACAGGGUGUGGCUAGAAAAGGCGAUGAUACCAUUUACAAACCGCAUAUUCUUGAUAUAUGGAAAUAACAGGCUGCGAUCAGAAAAUAUUGGUUCCCAUAUUCGGAUAGUAUGUCAAGGAGGCGGAAGAUAAAUUCUCCUUUCAUGCCUACAUUGAAGGUAGCCUAAGGGAUUCGAUCGCACUUUUAUUAACAAUCAGGACAUGUUUAGAUAGGUAGCGCUGCUCCCAAAGAAGUCAAUAUAAGGCGACGAAGACAAAAGACUGGGACAAAGAGUUGAUGAAGUCAGAUUGAUUUACAAGUGACGGCUGUUGACGUUUGGUAACAUUACAAGUUGAGAUACACUUCUUUGCAUCUAACGGAAAGUAGUAAAGAUAACGCUUUGGCAAUGGACUCACGUACUUCUACUUCUCGUAAGUCCAGUCUCGUUGGUAAGACUGAAUGCUGUGCUACUGUGUAAGGCGAAUAACUUUUCUAAUCUUGCAACUAUCGUAAUCUCUUACUGGGCAUUGUUAUAACCCAUUCAUUACAGACUCAGCCAUCAUUGACUUGAAGCUGAAAAUUACUUCGAAAACUCUGUUAAGAUGUGCGUCCAUUGCGUCGUUGCGUCGCAGGAAGAGUUCCUUGGGUGACAAUCGCAGUCUGGGCUUGAAUCUUGUUACUUUAAAGCACGUGCAGCAUGGACUUCCCAUUCUGAAAACAUUAUAUAAGCAAAGUGAUGCGUCGUUUACCUAGCGAGUGCCUUGUACAGUAAUACAUAUCAGUCUGAGCAGUAAAGUGGUUGUCAUACCUCAAGGAGGCGUGACAACCACUUACGAUGGAGUAUGAAGCAACUUCAUACCCUUCAUAAGGGUUGAGAUAGUGAUUGGUUGUUUAGUUCUUAUACAUCAUCAGGGGGAGAUGAAGUUAGAUUAGUGUGCUUAUAAUUGGGGUUGGAUAUCCUCCUUCCAAUCAUCGCGUGUUUGGGCUUUCCAGAGUAUCUGCAGCUCUCGUUAUAUUCCUCAAUCCUUGAGAACUUCUAGAGUGGUUUCAUACUGUAGUGGGGGAGGCUCUGACUAUGGAGAAACUGGUAUCGUGGUUUGUAUGGGAGAAGACACUCUGUUGCAUCCCUUAUUCACGAAUAAGCAUAUUAUAUAUUAUAAUAGAAAUCUGGAAUGUAGGGCAGAAACCUUUGGCGGCUAACUUAGACUGAAAGUAUUUUUGAUAAAACUGACAUUUGGGCGAUCGUUGGUGCAAUCAGGAGACAUGCCAUUUACGGUCUAAUCUGUAAAUGGAUUAUCACCUGGUUUGUUGGAGCAACGAGCAAUGCAACAAUAACCAACACAAUUAUACAUCCUUCGGUCAGAGUAGUAUACGUUCUUCUCUCUUUUGGAAUCAGAUUUUUCAUUAUGUAAAAUGCUUCGUCUAUAAAGUGAUGCUUUCGCAUAAGAUUUUGCACACCUUAUUGUCAAUUAUGUGAUUUUUAGGUAUAAUACCACGUACAUCAGCUGAUCUUGGUAUUUUGGAGUGUAAACUUGGGAGCUUUCGUUACUUUUUGGUAGAAGGCUCUGCCGUUAAUGUGAGGCCUGAAAAGAGGUACCUGUGCUUUGUCAAGGAGAGAAAAUAGGAGCACAUCUGGAUAGGACUGUCAACACGGACAAACGUUUUUUGGUACAGUGCUGAAAUGUUUAGUAAUGCCAAAUUUAUGGUCGAAAAUGGAGAUUGAGGUUUUUGUAGUAGUGAGUAGUUGGUCUUAUGGACACCAUUUGAGCUUUCUCAGAAGCUUCAGCCUUUGAAUGAUUUUUUAGCCUUCCCACCACAAAUCCGAGCUAUCGACAGGAGGAUUUUGUGUCAUAAAGAGCAGUGGUAUAGCUCUAGCUGCAGCAGUUGACGACGAUCGAGGGAUAUGAUGUUUUGCAUAUAAUCUGUAAUAAUAUACUUUAAAAAGUAUCUUUUGAAAAAUUUCUUAGUAUGGUGAUCCUUCCCAUGGAGAUUCGAACACCUUGACGUCAAUCACCAUGUAAAUAAAUAAUGAUUAAAAAUCUUUUAUACUGUAUCACGCAUAAUAUCCAAACGCUUUGUGCAAAAAUAAUCAUUAGUCUACAUACAGUUUUUUAUCAACCCUGUGUUCAUAAGUAAAAGAACUUGAACAGUUCUAAACAGAGAUUCUGAAGAAGCUAUCAAAGUAAAAUUCCUAAUUGCAAUGGAUUUGGGAAAUAAAUUCAUACAAAAAUGCAUCUAGCAAGUUCCCUGCAGGGCAAACUCGCUUGGCAAUAAUCUAACAGUUAUCCAUAACCUAGAUUAUACGUUCAAGCUUAAUACAUCCUUUUUCCAAUAAAUUUGCUACAAUUAUUGGCAUCUCCCAUAAAGUUUAUAACCAAAUGAAAAUGUUCUUUUUCCGAGAUAGUAUGGCCGAAUGUUUCUUCAGGAAUUGGCAAUCCUAAAUGAAAUCCAGUUGGAUCCACCUCAUUGACGAUUAACAAACUGCUGCUGAACUUCAUUCUGAAUCUGAAAAUUGCAAUUUUUAAUUAGUUUUGAGUUUAAAACUUUUAAUCUUGGACCUGCUUAAGCCUUAAAACAUUAUUUUCUGUAUAAAAUACUUUGAACUUUCGUGUCCUUUUCAUACUGCAAGAAAAACUUUUUCACCAUGACAGUAUCUUUCGAUUUAAUGCAUGUUCUAAAAAUAAUAUUUUUACAUUCAGUAUGUGCAAUAUAAUAAUGUUAUUGUGUUAAUGUGUUUAAACAAAUAGAAUGUUGGAUUCCAUUUUAUACAAACACCUUCAGGCAACCUGCUGUUAAUAUUUGCAAAUUGAUAGUAGGUAUUAAGAAAACGGUAAACGGUUUAAGGUUUGUCUCAAUCCUCAAAACUCAAAAGUGUUUUUAUAUACUUGUAAGUGUGUAUAUAUGUAUGUAUACAUUAUGUAAAUAUCAUUAAUUCCAUCCAAAACAGGAUACAGAAUUACAUAUUGGAUUGGGUAAACAUAGAGUUUUAUAAUCUUUUAGUAAUCUUGAUGUGAAAAGACCACAGUUAUUAGACAAAUAACUGUUUUAAAUGCCUGAAGAAUGUAUGUUAAAUUUAAUUUUAUUUCCGUAUUAAUGUCCAAAUGUUGAGUUUCAAAUAACACAUACAACGCAAGACCAGGCUUCGAUAAGCUUCGAAAUUAUUGGCGAUAUCCAGGUGGGAUAUGGUUCAUCCUAAUGUCCGGAAAUAUGCCUUGACAUUACAACCACCAAAAAAAACUACGAUUUACUUGUAAUCAACCAAGAGGGCUCCGCCCUCCCCCUCCGGACUAACCUCCAUAGAUAGUUGAAGGAUAUAGGUGUACCCUUGACUACAUCCUGACCACUGAAGGACAUCAAUCUUGCCUAUGUACAAAUUAUAUCCAAACCUCAAGCUAACUAUAUUUAAUUCCUUAUCGAUAAAUUCCUGGCAGUAAUAGACAAAACCCAUGAAAUGACAUGCACCAUUUCGAACUCGAUCUUCCCUAUUUAUAAUUGAAGAUUCACUCAAAUUUCAAACCUAAAGCCCAAUUCAAUUAUCAUAUAUCUCCCUAAGUAACAGAAUCCAUGGAAGUGUAUACAACAUUACCGAACCCGAUUUUGCCUAUGGAGAAUUUACGUCUCAUCCAGGGGCGGCGCAUCCAUUAGGCAAAUAGGGGGAAAUACAAAGUUUAGUAUAAACUACUGUAGUUUUACAAAAAAAAAAUCUGAGAUAAAAUUGGCUCGUGGUACUUUGAAAUUCGGCUUCAAUAAUUAUAAAAAUGUUACCUGAUGUUGGAAUGUUAUAUCCGCUUAAACGCUGGAGGGAAACAUGUCAACUUACUAAAAUAAACUACUCUCUAUGUGACAAUGGCAACAGUGAGUAGCGUCAUCUUUCUCAAAAUCAAACUACAAAACAUUAACUGAUAAUCUAUUUAAUCUUCAAAAAAUUCUUUCUAUUUAAUUGCAAUAGGGUCUUUUUUUGUAUUUAGGAAGUUACUAUUUGAAAACCAUAAACUAUCCUUUAGUAUUGAUAAUUACAGCCUUUUUUAAAAACAUGCAUGGAUGAAUUUCGAUUGUAUUGUUACUGUGCUGGACGGGAGGAUUUUACUUUUGCAUUGGGGUCCGGAAUAGCAUGAGCCGCCGGCACUUCAUCCAAAUUCCAAGCCUACCAGGUAGACAUCAAGAUAUUCCUGUAAGUAAAAAUAAUGCUUCACUAAAGCUCACCCAAUCACAUAUGAGGACGAAUAUGUCAUCGAACUCAACCAUGGCUGUGCUAAAGUGAAUUCAUUAGGAAAAUUCUCAAAUCCAUUGCUAUAGUCAGAAAAGAAUAUUUUUAAUUACUACUAAUCAGUUCAAAAAAUUACCUUUAAGGGUAGAAUGUCAUAUACUUUGCUUAUAAGUUUGAUUUUGAAAACUAAUACUGUAAUGUUACCCUUUUUGCUGGAAAUAUAUUCAGUUCUUUCCGA